rnacentral:snoRNA from 1 species
GGCUCAGUGAUGAAAUCUUUGUCUUGUCUCUACAGAGGUGUUGUCUUAAAAAUCUUGUGCAAUAGAUUUAUGCUGAGGACC